AAGUCGUAACAAGGUUUCCGUAGGUGAACCUGCGGAAGGAUCAUUAACACUUUUUCAUUUUAUUGAAAAUUUAUUUUUCAAUAAUUUACUUACCCACAUUUUUGGAUGAAUUAUUUCUUUUUUAUUCUUUUUUAAAUUUUAAACCCAAAUACCAUAUUAUUUCUAACAUUUAUACACAAAAAGUUUAAGAAAAACAUAAAAAACAACUCUUAACAACGGAUAUCUAGGCUCUC
rnacentral:misc_RNA from 1 species